rnacentral:rRNA from 1 species
UAUUUAUUAGAUAAAAAACCAAUGCCCUUCGGGGCUCCUUGGUGAAUCAUAAUAACUUAACGAAUCGCAUGGCCUUGCGCCGGCGAUGGUUCAUUCAAAUUUCUGCCCUAUCAACUUUCGAUGGUAGGAUAGUGGCCUACCAUGGUAUCAACGGGUAACGGGGAAUUAGGGUUCGACUCCGGAGAGGGAGCCUGAGAAACGGCUACCACAUCCAAGGAAGGCAGCAGGCGCGCAAAUUACCCAAUCCCGACACGGGGAGGUAGUGACAAUAAAUACUGAUACAGGGCUCUUUUGGGUCUUGUAAUUGGAAUGAGUACAAUUUAAAUCCCUUAACGAGGAACAAUUGGAGGGCAAGUCUGGUGCCAGCAGCCGCGGUAAUUCCAGCUCCAAUAGCGAAUAUUAAAGUUGUUGCAGUUAAAAAGCUCGUAGUUGAACCUUGGGCCUGGCUGGCCGGUCCGCCUCACCGCGUGUACUGGUCCGGCCGGGCCUUUCCUUCUGGGGAACCUCAUGCCCUUCACUGGGCGUGUUGGGGAACCAGGACUUUUACUUUGAAAAAAUUAGAGUGUUCAAAGCAGG